rnacentral:ncRNA from 1 species
GAAUAAAUAAAAAAAUUAUGUUUUUUAUAAUUUAUUAUAAAUUUAUUUUACAUGUAAAUUUUAGUAUUAAAUUUUAAUUAUUUUAAUAAUAAUUAAUUUAAAAUUUAUAGUAAUUAAAAUUAAAAAUUUAAGAAAUUAAGAUUUAGUAAUAUUUAAAUUAAUAACUAAUUUUGUGCCAGCAGUUGCGGUUAAACAAAAGUUAAAUUAAAUUAUUUCAGUAUAUAAUAAAUAAUAAAUAAUUAAAUUAAAUAUUAAAUUAUUAAGUAAAAUUUUAUUUUAAUUAAAAAUUAUAUUAAAAUUAUGAUUUAGUAAAUUUUAUUAUAAACUAGGAUUAGAUACCCUAUUAUUAAGAAUUUAAUUAAAAAUACUAAAAUAGUAAAUAAAAUAUUAUUGAAACUUAAAUAAUAUGGCGGUAUUUUAGUUCAUUUAGAGGAAUCUGUCUAAUAAUUGAUAAUCCACGAAUAAAUUUACUUAAUUUAUAAUUUUGUAUAUCAUUGUUAAAAAAAUAUUUUUAUAUAAUAAUAAUAUUUUAAAAUUUAAAAUAAAAUUUAAUUCAGAUCAAGAUGCAGGUUAUAAUUAAGUUAAGAUGGAUUACAAUAAAUUUAUUUAAAUGGAAAUAUUUUUUUAAGAUUUAAUUGAAGGUGGAUUUAAAUGUAAUUUUAAUUAGUUUAUUAAAAUGAUUAAAAAUUGAAAUAUGUACAUAUUGCCCGUCACUUUCAUUUGAAAAUUGGAAUAAGUCGUAACAAAGUAGAGGUACUGGAAAGUGUUUCUAGAAUGAA